rnacentral:rRNA from 1 species
AGAGUUUGAUCCUGGCUCAGAACGAACGCUGGCGGCGUGCCUAACACAUGCAAGUCGAACGAGAAAGGGGCUUCGGCCCUGAGUAAAGUGGCGCACGGGUGAGUAACACGUGGGUGACCUGCCUUCGAGCGGGGGAUAACGUCCCGAAAGGGACGCUAAUACCGCAUAACAUCCUGGUCUUGGACGACCGGUGAUCAAAGCUGGGGAUUCGCAAGAACCUGGCACUUGAAGAGGGGCCCGCGCCUGAUUAGCUAGUUGGUGAGGUAACGGCUCACCAAGGCUACGAUCAGUAUCCGGCCUGAGAGGGCGGACGGACACACUGGGACUGAGACACGGCCCAGACUCCUACGGGAGGCAGCAGUGGGGAAUAUUGGACAAUGGGCGGAAGCCUGAUCCAGCAACGCCGCGUGAGGGAUGACGGCCUUCGGGUUGUAAACCUCUUUCAUCACCGACGAAGGCUCGGUCUUUUGGUUGGGUUGACGGUAGGUGGAGAAGAAGCACCGGCCAACUACGUGCCAGCAGCGGCGGUAAUAC